UACGAAGGGGGCGAGCGUUGUUCGGAAUUACUGGGCGUAAAGGGCGCGUAGGCGGCGACCCAAGUCAGAUGUGAAAGUCCUGGGCUUAACCUGGGGACUGCAUUUGAUACUGGGUUGCUUGAAUUCGGGAGAGGGAUGCGGAAUUCCAGGUGUAGCGGUGAAAUGCGUAGAUAUCUGGAGGAACACCGGUGGCGAAGGCGGCAUCCUGGACCGAGAUUGACGCUGAGGCGCGAAAGCCAGGGGAGCAAACGGG
rnacentral:rRNA from 1 species